AAGAGUGUUGUUGGAGUUUUAUGUGUUGGUGUUGAUGGUGACGGGAUGAACAAGUUUUUAUCAGGUUUAAGCAAAGAGGGAACAACACAAACUUUUUCUUGAAGAUUUGGCACCGUCAACACCAUCACCGAAAAUCAACAAACCGCUUUUUGAGUUUCUGGAAAGAAGUAAAGCUGAAAAAGUACGAAGUAACCGAAACCCAACAAAAAAUGCUACGCUCAUUUUAAGAGAAUAUUUUGAUACAAGAAAUAUAGACUCAAGCUCUGAUGCCUUGGAAUUUUGGAAGAUGCGUGAUACUAGCGACAUAACUUUUCAAUUCUUG